CCUGACUGCUAUCGGAAUGAUACUAAGCCAUGCGAGUCAUUGUAGCAAUACAAGGCAUACGGCUCAGUAACGCGUAGUCAAUCUACCCUGUGGACGGGAAUAACCUCGGGAAACUGAGAAUAAUACCCGAUAGAACAUUAUGCCUGGAAUGGUUUAUGUUUCAAAUGAUUUAUCGCCAUAGGAUGGGACUGCUGCCUAUCAGUUUGUUGGUGAGGUAAUGGCCCACCAAGACUAUUACAGGUACGGGCUCUGAGAGGAGUAGCCCGGAGAUGGGUACUGAGACACGGACCCAGGCCCUAUGGGGCGCAGCAGGCGAGAAAACUUUGCAAUGUGCGAAAGCACGACAAGGUUAAUCCGAGUGGUUUCUGCUAAAGAAACCUUUUGCCAGUCCUAGAAACACUGGUGAAUAAGGGGUGGGCAAGUUCUGGUGUCAGCCGCCGCGGUAAAACCAGCACCUCAAGUGGUCAGGAUGAUUAUUGGGCCUAAAGCAUCCGUAGCUCGUUUUGUAAGUUUUCGGUUAAAUCCAUGCGCUCAACGUAUGGGCUGCCGGGAAUACUGCAUAACUAGGAAGUGGGAGAGGUAGACGGUACUCGGUAGGAAGGGGUAAAAUCCUUUGAUCUAUUGAUGACCACCUGUGACGAAGGCGGUCUACCAGAACACGUUCGACGGUGAGGGAUGAAAGCUGGGGGAGCAAACCGGAUUAGAUACCCGGGUAGUCCCAGCUGUAAACUAUGCAAACUCAGUGAUGCAUUGGCUUGUGGCCAAUGCAGUGCUGCAGGGAAGCCGUUAAGUUUGCCG
rnacentral:rRNA from 1 species